CAGCUGCUGCGCAGGCGCACUCGGCUGUCACCCGCGUUCCUACCGACCUCGCGCCGCCAGCCGGUAGCGCCACUGAUCAGGCGGAGUUGGGAGAGGAUGGCCCGGCUGUGAGCGGGCAGUACCAGUGCUGGUGAAGGAACUGUGAAUUUGGGGCAGAAGGUCCCAGAGGGCUGAUCACACAGGUCAGUUUCCACAGUUAGCACACCAAACUGAAACACAUAGGCUCUCAGUUACGGGCACGGCACAGCGAUUUGCCAGUAUGUCUGCUGAGCAGCUGGAGCUGGCAUCAGCUGCCAAGGGCCUUGGUGGAGUUUGUUUUCAUGUGGGAGAACUGUGAGGUAAAACUACCACUCCUCCGAGCAACAGCCCUCCAAACUUCUCUCCUAUUUAUACAUAAAGAAAUAUCCAAGAAAGUUUGGGUAAAAGAUUUAAAGAGACGGUGCCAAAAAACAAAGGCAGAUGUAAUCUCCACGUGGUUACUCUCGUGAGGAGCGAAGAGGCUUUCUUUCCAUCAUUGUUUAGUUUCCUGGUGAGCAGGAGCAGGCAGAAGUGAAGGAAGAGGAGAAGAUGAAAAUAUGCCAAAGAAAGAAGUGUCUUAACAUGUUCCCCCCAAAGAACAGGUAGCGUUCCCUCAGUUAGUCCAGACGGACUUCAGCUACUUGAUGUGUAAGUAUUUUCUUCACCAGAACACUCACUACCUCAGUCAGCUGUCUACUGAUGGGCAUACCUUCCUGUGUGCUAAAGAGAAAGGGAGAGGUAUCUGGUUUUUCUUCUGUUUUUAUCUGCUUGGAAUAUGUUUAGAAGUUGUGGGUACUUUGGUGAAGGAAAGCAAAAGUACUCUGGGUAAUUGAAGCAGAAUUGACUCAAAUUUCAAGCUGUUAGUGUUCUGAACAGAUUGUUAUCUGUUCGAGAAUGAAAUUAAGUUACUGAUGAACAAUCCUUUUCAUUAAGCCUCAACUAAGUUUUCUUCUGAAAGGUAUUCAUAAUGAAAAAGAAUACUGAAAGAGUCUAAAUGCGGUGAUAGCUUAUUCACCAAACUGACAGAUGCGGGUUAUUAAUUAAUGUAUCUUUCGUAAGUUAUUUG
ensembl:lncRNA